AAUUAAAACUUAUGAAAUUACUGUAGUUUCAUACCUCAAUAUAAUGGUCGAAAUUAAGAUCCCAUAUUGUGCCUUUAACCCCUAAACUCACAAAUGAACCCAAUUUUCGACUCCGUGGUAAAAUUAAAAACACACUUAAGCCUGUAGUACACUCUUUGACCAAGCGUCAAAUAUUUGUCACUUUUUGACAGAUAAAAAUUUGGUCAAAGAUAAUUAUUUAUCACUCUCCAAUUUUUACAUGGGGCAAACACGGGCAAACAACAACCAUGAUGUCAAAUAAAUUUGACCAUUAUGUCAGGAGGUUAAAUAUUUGACCAUUGGCCAAAGAGUGUAAUACAGACUUUAUAACUAAUAAAUUUUAACUUGAGAAAUGCAACGAACUGAGAAAUAUCGUAGUAACUACGGAGAGGCUGAAAUUCCCGUCGCUGUUCUCGAGUUAACUACGUGAUAAGUAGAAGGGAUCAAAUAAAACUGCCAAACAUUAUGAAUGCCUAGAUCGCCGAUCCGACGUCUCGGCGGGUUUGUUUUGCUCGACAGCGGAAACAGCCAUCACGGGCUAUUUAGUUUAGCCUCGAUAUCGAUAUGGAACACAGGUCGCGUUUUGUUUUGGUAUUUUGAACUGUUUUAUUUUGCAGUUUGUGUUAUUUUUGGUUUUCUUCUUGGUAUUCUAGCGAAGAUCCGGGGUCCGUUGGAGGUACUUUGCCGCCCAGUAAGGGUUUCACUGUGCAACUUCAAGUGUGUACAUGGUAACCCCCCAGGGUUUUAUAUAUUGUCUUGUUAUAAAGUUUUAUUAAAGGCUUAACUAAUGAUAAUAAAGGUGCUGCCAUACUGAGCACGAAUAUAA